rnacentral:rRNA from 1 species
UACGGGGGGGGGCAAGCGUUGUUCGGAAUUACUGGGCGUAAAGGGCUCGUAGGCGGCCAACUAAGUCAGACGUGAAAUCCCCAGGCUCAACCUGGGAACUGCGUCUGAUACUGGAUGGCUUGAAUCCGGGAGAGGGAUGCAGAAUUCCAGGUGUAGCGGUGAAAUGCGUAGAUAUGACAUAGAACACCGAUAGCGUAGGCAGCUUACUACACAAAUAUUGACACUGAGGCACGAAAGCGUGGGGAUCAAACAGG